AUUGAACGCUGGCGGCAGGCUUAACACAUGCAAGUCGAGCGGAGAUGAGGUGCUUGCACCUUAUCUUAGCGGCGGACGGGUGAGUAAUGCUUAGGAAUCUGCCUAUUAGUGGGGGACAACAUUCCGAAAGGGAUGCUAAUACCGCAUACGUCUUACGGGAGAAAGCAGGGGAUCUUCGGACCUUGCGCUAAUAGAUGAGCCUAAGUCGGAUUAGCUAGUUGGUGGGGUAAAGGCCUACCAAGGCGACGAUCUGUAGCGGGUCUGAGAGGAUGCUCCGCCACACUGGGAAUGAGAAACGGCCCAGACACCUACUGGAGGCAGCAGUGGGGAAUAUUGGACAAUGGGGGGAACCCUGAUCCAGCCAUGCCGCAUGUGUGAAGAAGGCCUUAUGGUUGUAAAGCACUUUAAGCGAGGAGGAGGCUACUGAGACUAAUACUCUUGGAUAGUGGACGUUACUCGCAGAAUAAGCACCGGCUAACUCUGUGCCAGCCGCCGCGGUAACAC
rnacentral:rRNA from 1 species